rnacentral:ncRNA from 1 species
CCUCCCGCUUGCCUCCCUGAGCGGGUGCCUUUUGCUGACACUAAAGGCUGUUUACCCCGGCACCCAGGUGCCGGGGUUUUUUAU